CCUACGGGAGGCUGCAGUGGGGAAUAUUGGACAAUGGGGGGAACCCUGAUCCAGCCAUGCCGCGUGUGUGAAGAAGGCCCUCGGGUUGUAAAGCACUUUCAGUGAGGAAGAACGCCUGGUGGUUAAUACCCAUCAGGAAAGACAUCACUCACAGAAGAAGCACCGGCUAACUCCGUGCCAGCAGCCGCGGUAAUACGGAGGGUGCGAGCGUUAAUCGGAAUUACUGGGCGUAAAGCGCGCGUAGGUGGCUUGAUAAGCCGGUUGUGAAAGCCCCGGGCUCAACCUGGGAAUGGCAUCCGGAACUGUCAAGCUAGAGUGCAGGAGAGGAAGGUAGAAAUCCCGGUGUAGCGGUGAAAUGCGUAGAGAUCGGGAGGAAUACCAGUGGCGAAGGCGGCCUUCUGGACUGACACUGACACUGAGGUGCGAAAGCGUGGGUAGCAAACAGGAUUAGAUACCCUAGUAGUC
rnacentral:rRNA from 1 species